CUAUUGAAAAUAUCACGUUAUGCUAUAGGCUACAUGCCGUUAGGCAGAGGGCUCUUUUGAGCCCAUUUUUCGUUACAAAUUUUAGGAUGAUCUCACGGAAAUCUGUGAAUAAAUACAAAGUUUUCAAACUGAAGUCAGUGACGGGAAGACAUCACACUUUUUAGAGAUGGAACUGCAGAAAAACCUAAAACCUUGACAUGAUUAUGAAUAAUAGAAUUAUGGACGUUUCUCCGUUUUUGUGGAUUAGCCUUUCCAUAACUAACGUCAACUACUGUCCUACUUUGGUAAGAUUGAAAUUAAUGUCUUUGACUGUCUUUAGUAGGUGUCUCCUGUGAGAAAGUUAGAACACCGUCCAACUGUCUAAAGAUGCAGUCUUUAGCCUAACUGGUUGUUACUGACUCAGCGAUGCUCGCAGACAUUUACGCACUGUGUUGUGACCUGAUUGUGACAGAACAGUGACGUUGUUAUUGGUAGUUUGAAGGGUACGGUGUUGGGGGUGGUGCAUGUUAAAAGUUUUGAGAAGCACUGGUUAGACAUGUUAAUUUUUUUUGGUGUAACAUAUUGGCAACAUUAACACAUUAAUUUGCUAAAGGAAAAAUAGGCAGUUCCCAAUUGCCUGUGAAAACGACCAUUCUGCCCUGUUCUUGUAAUGACCACAGUCAGUCUUAUUCGUUCUCAUACAUUUUGGUCUAUUUAUUUACUAAUUUCAGCAAGCAUAAUGCCUAGGAAAGAGAGGCUGAGAAAGGAGAAAGAAAGGGAUCUACAACAGGCAGCCCAGGGAAGCAGUUCUCUGCUCUCCUGGAUGAAAGCAAAGGAAAAUGAAGAUGAAAGUCAGUCACAGCAGGGAAGCAGCUCUAUGCCAUCUACCAGCAUAGCAGAAGAGGGAGAUAUAGAAACAGAUGAAGCCGCGACCAAUGCAGCAGCAGGUUCAGUUAGGCCUACAGACACUGAUGUAGUGCUCUCUGAAGACCACAAUGAGGAAGAACAGAUCGAUCACAUAAUGUCAAAGUUAGCAGCUUUACAAUACCCAACAGAUCCAACACACAUCCAUACAUUUAAAAUAAAGCGCAAUGACAGAUACGUUUCAAUGUGCUGCAAUGUGGGCCCAUGUCAGCCUGAUAUACCUUACCCAAAAACUGAGGGGAGAUCAUUCCAGAAACAGUGGUUUUCUGCUAAUGUGUGGCUGGAAUACUCACCCACUGCUAAUUCAAUGCAUUGUUUUAGUUGUCGGCUUUUCCUCUCGGAUGAAAAAUAUAAAAGCAGAACAGCCUGGACAACUGAUGGCAUCAGAAAGUGGAGUACUGCUCUUGAAAAAAUCAAACAACACUCCAGCGCAGAGAUGCACAUGACAAGCAUGGUUAGAUGGAUCAA